UGCAACUGUUUAUUCUUUGUGUGCUGGUGGUGCUCCUUUUGCUCAAUGCUGUAAAGAGCUUCCUCUAUCUUACUCUUUUGUAGAUGUUACUGAGGCUUCAGAGAAGCCAGAAGAACCUGAGCACGAUUGUCUGCAUGGGCUAUUUGACUGCACUGUGGAAGUUCUCGCUAAUAUUGAUCCCAGCUCUAGCGUUGAGGUUUUCCCCUCCCAAACCCAUCCAAGUGUAUGGCUCCCCACGCAGAUAAGGGAUCCACUGCUUUUUGA